UUUCCGUUGCUGGUUUGACUUUAGUUUUAUUAUACGACAAGUUUAAAUUUGCAGAAAUAUAUUUUUUUUAGCCUUGGCAGGGCAUCCGAGAUGGUCAUGUGAACGACUUUGCUUUCACAUGGAAACCGAGUACUGGUGGUUUAGCCCCCAAUAGCAUAAGAAACUUGAACAAUGCAACCGUUAUUCAUAACAAAGACAAUAGCCGCUUCGAAAAUAAUUAGUAACUGACUUUGCUUAUUGAUUACAUGAUCUUGGGCACACUUCACGACCUUUCCAGGUAUGCUUUUCUAUAGGUCUUUGUCGAGUGAUUGUGGAAUUGGAAUACAUUGGUGCAUUUCAGCGAAAUAACAAAUUAUAACCUAAUUUAGUUUUUUUUUUCUACAUACAUGCAUCUACCAGCUUGAUUGACAGGUAUAGAAUUUUGGUGUUGGUUAUGAAUUUUGGUGCUGGUUAUGAAUUUUGGUGUUGGGACUGCUUAUGAAUUUCGAAACUUGCUAAUCCCCAGUUAGAAGUUAUGGAGAGAACAUAGUUCAGAGGCUUUUGGAAAUUAAUGCAAUGGAGCUGAAAAUGAUCCGUGCCACCACGAGAAGGCUGAC
rnacentral:lncRNA from 1 species